rnacentral:rRNA from 1 species
GACAGAGGAUGCAAGCGUUAUCCGGAAUUAUUGGGCGUAAAGCGUCUGUAGGUGGCUUUUUAAGUUCGCCGUCAAAUCCCAGGGCUCAACCCUGGACAGGUGGUGGAAACUACCAAGCUAGAGUACGGUAGGGGCAGAGGGAAUUUCCGGUGGAGCGAUGAAAUGCGCAGAUAUCAGGAGGAACACCGGUGGCGAAGGCGGGUCUCUGGGCCGUAACUGACGCUGAGGAGCGAAAGCGUGGGGAGCGAACAGG